rnacentral:tRNA from 1 species
GCUGGUGUAGCUCAGUUGGUAGAGCAGCGGUUUUGUAAACCGCCGGUCGUAGGUUCGAGUCCUAUCACCAGCU